rnacentral:rRNA from 1 species
UACAGAGGUCCCAAGCGUUGUUCGGAUUCACUGGGCGUAAAGGGUGCGUAGGUGGCCGGGAAAGUUCGGUGUGAAAGCUCGGAGCUCAACUCCGAAAUGGCAUUGAAUACUAUCCGGCUUGAGGUUCGGAGGGGAGACUGGAAUUCUCGGUGUAGCAGUGAAAUGCGUAGAUAUCGAGAGGAACACCGGUGGCGAAGGCGAGUCUCUGGACGAAUCCUGACACUGAGGCACGAAAGCUAGGGGAGCAAACAGGAUUAGAAACCCCCGUAGUCC